rnacentral:rRNA from 1 species
UACAGAGACUGCAAGCGUUAUUCGGAUUCACUGGGCGUAAAGGGUGCGCAGGCGGCCAAGUGUGUGAGGCGUGAAAGCCUGGAGCUUAACUCCAGAAUUGCACCUCAAACUACUUGGCUAGAGCAUUGGAGAGGGUAGCAGAAUUCUUGGUGUAGCGGUGAAAUGCGUAGAUAUCAAGAGGAACACCUGAGGCGAAGGCGGGUUGCUAGGCUGACACUGACGCUGAUGCGCGAAAGCCAGGGGAGCAAACGGG